rnacentral:misc_RNA from 1 species
GAUGAAGAACGUAGCGAAAUGCGAUACUUGGUGUGAAUUGCAGAAUCCCGUGAACCAUCGAGUCUUUGAACGCAAGUUGCGCCCGAAGCCAUUAGGCCGAGGGCACGCCUGCCUGGGCGUCACACGUCGUUGCCCCCCCAUCUACUCCUUCGGGAUUGCGGGGGGCGGAUGAUGGCCUCCCGUGCGCCUAGUCGCGCGGUUGGCAAAAAAGCCAAGUCCUCGGCGACGCACGCCACGACAAUCGGUGGUUGCGAAACCUCGGUUGCCCGUCGUGUGCGGUCGUCGCGCAUCGAGGGCUCGAAAAAAUUGCCGGGCUCCGGCUCGGCUUUCAACGCGACCCCAGGUCAGGCGGGGUUACCCGCUGAAUUUAAGCAUAUCAAUAAGCGGAGGA